rnacentral:snRNA from 1 species
UCUGCUUCUCGGCCUUUUGGCUAAGAUCAAGUGUAGUAUCUGUUCUUAUCAGUUUAUAUAGGUAUAAAUGGGUUAAAUACAU